AACCAACCGGGAUUGCCUUAGUAACGGCGAGUGAAGCGGCAAAAGCUCAAAUUUGAAAUCUGGCGUCUUCGACGUCCGAGUUGUAAUUUGAAGAAGGCGACUUUGUAGCUGGUCCUUGUCUAUGUUCCUUGGAACAGGACGUCAUAGAGGGUGAGAAUCCCGUGUGGCGAGGAUCCCAGUUAUUUGUAAAGUGCUUUCGACGAGUCGAGUUGUUUGGGAAUGCAGCUCUAAGUGGGUGGUAAAUUCCAUCUAAAGCUAAAUAUUGGCGAGAGACCGAUAGCGAACAAGUACAGUGAUGGAAAGAUGAAAAGAACUUUGAAAAGAGAGUGAAAAAGUACGUGAAAUUGUUGAAAGGGAAGGGCAUUUGAUCAGACAUGGCGUUUGCUUCGGCUUUCGCUGGGCCAGCAUCAGUUUUAGCGGUUGGAUAAAUCCUCGGGAAUGUGGCUCUGCUUCGGUAGAGUGUUAUAGCCCGUGGGAAUACAGCCAGCUGGGACUGAGGAUUGCGACUUUUGUCAAGGAUGCUGGCGUAAUGGUUAAAUGCCGC
rnacentral:rRNA from 1 species